CGCGGCCUAUCAGCUUGUUGGUGGGGUAGUGGCCUACCAAGGCGACGACGGGUAGCCGGCCUGAGAGGGUGACCGGCCACACUGGGACUGAGACACGGCCCAGACUCCUACGGGAGGCAGCAGUGGGGAAUAUUGCGCAAUGGGCGGAAGCCUGACGCAGCGACGCCGCGUGGGGGAUGACGGCCUUCGGGUUGUAUACCUCUUUCAGCAGGGACGAAGCGAAAGUGACGGUACCUGCAGAAGAAGCACCGGCCAACUACGUGCCAGCAGCCGCGGUAAUACGUAGGGUACAAGCGUUGUCCGGAAUUAUUGGGCGUAAAGAGCUCGUAGGCGGUUUGUUGCGUCGGCUGUGAAGUCCCGAGGCUCAACCUCGGGUCUGCAGUCGAUACGAGCAAACUAGAGUGUUGCAGGGGAGACUGGAAUUCCUGGUGUAGCGGUGAAAUGCGCAGAUAUCAGGAGGAACACCGGUGGCGAAGGCGGGUCUCUGGGCAACAACUGACGCUGAGGAGCGAAAGCGUGGGGAGCGAACAGGAUUAGAUACCCUGGUAGUCCACGCCGUAAACGUUGGGCGCUAGGUGUGUGGCUCAUUCCACGAGUUCCGUGCCGCAGCUAACGCAUUAAGCGCCCCGCCUGGGGAGUACGG
rnacentral:rRNA from 1 species